UACGUAGGGUGCAGGCGUUAAUCGGAAUUACUGGGCGUAAAGCGUGCGCAGGCGGUCUUUUAAGUCAGAUGUGAAAUCCCCGGGCUUAACCUGGGAACUGCGUUUGAAACUGCAAGGCUUGAGUCCGGGAGAGGGGGGUGGAAUUCCCAGUGUAGCGGUGAAAUGCGUAGAUAUUGGGAGGAACACCGGUGGCGAAGGCGGCCCCCUGGACCGGUACUGACGCUGAGGCGCGAAAGCGUGGGUAGCAAACGGG
rnacentral:rRNA from 1 species